GGCAUUAUAGCUCAGUGUGGAGUGUGUGCUUAGAAUGCACAAGGCCCUGGGUUCAACCCCCAGUACCU
rnacentral:tRNA from 1 species